rnacentral:tRNA from 1 species
CAGAAAAUAGUUUAUUAAAAAUAUUAAUUUUGGGAAUUAAUGAAAAAUAGUUUUAUUUUUUUCUGA